rnacentral:sRNA from 20 species
UUGUAAGAUGACAUAUUUAUACCCUUAUACCCGAUUGUAUCGCAUUCAGAUUGUAUCAUCGUGUCUAUGUAAUUGCAAUAAUAAAGAACCUGAAAUCAGAGGAUUCAGGUUCUUUUUUGG